AACGAACGCUGGCGGCAUGCCUAACACAUGCAAGUCGAACGAGACCUUCGGGCUUGGUGGCGCAUGGGUGCGCAACGGGGGGGGACAUGCCUUUAGGUUCGGCAUAACUCCCCGAAAGGGGUGCUAAUACCGGAUAAUGUACCCGGACCAAAGAUUUGUCGCCUUUGGAUGGGCUCGCGUUGGAUUAGUUUGUUGGUAGGGUAAAAGCCUCCCACGGCGACGAUCCAUAACUGGGUUGAGAGGAUGCUCAGCCACACUGGGCCUGAGACACGGCCCAGACUCCUACGGGAGGCAGCAGUGGGGAAUAUUGGACGAUCGGGGAAGGCCUGAUGCAGCAAUGCCGGGUAAGUGAUGAAGGCCUUAGGGUAGUAAAGCUCUUUUACCCGGGGUGAUAAUGACGGUACCGAGAGAAUAAGCUCCGGCUAACUCCGUG
rnacentral:rRNA from 1 species